CCUACGGGAGGCAGCAGUGGGGAAUAUUGGUCAAUGGUCGGGAGACUGAACCAGCCAAGCCGCGUGAAGGACGAAGGUGCCAAGCAUUGUAAACUUCUUUUGUCAAGGGACAAAAUCAGGCUCGAGAGCCUGACCGAGGGUACUUGAAGAAAAAGCAUCGGCUAACUCCGUGCCAGCAGCCGCGGUAAUACGGAGGAUGCGAGCGUUAUCCGGAUUUAUUGGGUUUAAAGGGAGCGUAGGCGGGCGUUCAAGUCAGCUGUAAAAUCGCGCGGCUCAACCGCGCCCCGCAGUUGAAACUGGACGCC
rnacentral:rRNA from 1 species